UACGUAGGGUGCGAGCGUUGUCCGGAUUUAUUGGGCGUAAAGAGCUCGUAGGCGGCUUGUCGCGUCGGAUGUGAAAGCCCGGGGCUUAACUCCGGGUCUGCAUUCGAUACGGGCAGGCUAGAGUGUGGUAGGGGAGAUCGGAAUUCCUGGUGUAGCGGUGAAAUGCGCAGAUAUCAGGUGGAACACCGGUGGCGAAGGCGGUGGUCUGGGCCGGAACUGACGCUGAGGAGCGAAAGCGUGGGGAGCGAACAGG
rnacentral:rRNA from 1 species